rnacentral:rRNA from 1 species
UACGGAGGAUGCGAGCGUUAUCCGGAUUUAUUGGGUUUAAAGGGUGCGCAGGCGGGAUUUUAAGUCAGCGGUGAAAUUUUCAGGCUCAACCUGAACACUGCCGUUGAAACUGGGAUUCUUGAGUAUGGAUGAAGUAGGCGGAAUUCGUUGUGUAGCGGUGACAUGCUUAGAUAUAACGAGGAACUCCGAUUGCGUAGGCAGCUUACUAAGCCAUAACUGACGCUCAAGCACGAAAGCGUGGGGAUCAAACAGGAUUAGAUACCCGCGUAGUCC